UGGGCUGGCGACUUGCAGGUCCGCUCAUAAAGAGUCCUAUAAGGAAGAAGAGAGUGAAAAAGGAGGAGCAUGUUCAUGCUCCUUACCUUGCCCACUAUCCUUGGAAUGAAGCCACGGGACAUGGGUCGCCUCUUUUGAAUUAGAUAGGGGUGCAAAUCUAUCGGAUCAUAUUGAGUCAUGAGUAACCCCAAUCUGAUCCGAUUUUUUGAUCGGGCCUAAAUAUUGGAUCCAAACUCUAUCUAACAAAAGAUCGAGUUAGAUCAGGUCUGAUCUAUGAUCAAAUUUUUUGACCCAAUGGAUCAUUCAGAUCAGAUCAAAUCUAUA
rnacentral:lncRNA from 1 species